CAAACUGGAGAUGGCGACCGGCGCACGGGUGAGUAACACGUAUCCAACCUGCCGAUAACUCGGGGAUAGCCUUUCGAAAGAAAGAUUAAUACCCGAUGGCAUAAUUAGACCGCAUGGUCUUAUUAUUAAAGAAUUUCGGUUAUCGAUGGGGAUGCGUUCCAUUAGGCAGUUGGUGAGGUAACGGCUCACCAAACCUUCGAUGGAUAGGGGUUCUGAGAGGAAGGUCCCCCACAUUGGAACUGAGACACGGUCCAAACUCCUAUGGGAGGCAGCAGUGAGGAAUAUUGGUCAAUGGGCGCAGGCCUGAACCAGCCAAGUAGCGUGAAGGAUGACUGCCCUAUGGGUUGUAAACUUCUUUUAUAUGGGAAUAAAGUUUUCCACGUGUGGAAUUUUGUAUGUACCAUAUGAAUAAGGAUCGGCUAACUCCGUGCCAGCAGCCGCGGUAAUACGGAGGAUCCGAGCGUUAUCCGGAUUUAUUGGGUUUAAAGGGAGCGUAGGUGGACAGUUAAGUCAGUUGUGAAAGUUUGCGGCUCAACCGUAAAAUUGCAGUUGAUACUGGCUGUCUUGAGUACAGUAGAGGUGGGCGGAAUUCGUGGUGUAGCGGUGAAAUGCUCAGAUAUCACGAAG
rnacentral:rRNA from 1 species